AAUGAACGCUGGCGGCAGGCCUAACACAUGCAAGUCGAACGGAUCCUUCGGGAUUAGUGGCGGACGGGUGAGUAACGCGUGGGAACAUACCCUUUGGUACGGAAUAGCCUCGGGAAACUGGGAGUAAUACCGUAUGUGGUCGAGAGACGAAAGAUUUAUCGCCAAAGGAUUGGCCCGCGUUGGAUUAGGUAGUUGGUGGGGUAAUGGCCUACCAAGCCGACGAUCCAUAGCUGGUUUGAGAGGAUGAUCAGCCACACUGGGACUGAGACACGGCCCAGACUCCUACGGGAGGCAGCAGUGGGGAAUCUCAGACAAUGGGGGAAACCCUGAUCUAGCCAUGCCGCGUGAUCGAUGAAGACCUUAGGGUUGUAAAGAUCUUUCAGGUGGGAAGAUAAUGACUGUACCACCAGAAGAAGCCCCGGCUAACUCCGUGCCAGCCGCCGCCGUAAUAC
rnacentral:rRNA from 1 species